rnacentral:rRNA from 1 species
UACGUAGGGUCCGAGCGUUGUCCGGAAUUACUGGGCGUAAAGAGCUCGUAGGUGGUUUGUCGCGUUGUUCGUGAAAACUCACAGCUCAACUGUGGGCGCGCAGGCGAUACGGGCAGACUGGAGUACUGCAGGGGAGACUGGAAUUCCUGGUGUAGCGGUGGAAUGCGCAGAUAUCAGGAGGAACACCGGUGGCGAAGGCGGGUCUCUGGGCAGUAACUGACGCUGAGGAGCGAAAGCGUGGGGAGCGAACAGG